AUCUAGGCUUGUAUACUUUCUAAAUACUUUCAAUUAUUCUUUCAUGGUAUUUUGAGAAAAGUUAUUCAGUAAUAGUAAGUGCUUUUGCACCAUGAGAUAACGAGGUCAUGCAACUUUAAAGAUUUGAAAAUUAUUUGGAAGGGAUAAGGACUAAAACUUUUGAAUUCUUCUAAAGCUAGUUUAGAUCCUAAAGCUGAGCAUGGCUGAGCAUACAUCUGGUUAAUUGUCUGGAAUUGGAAGUGACUUGCAGAAGAUGUAGAUGGUUAUUCACACUUAUCUUUUGUUCAAAUCAGAGCAUUAAUCUUUCACAAAUUCAAUCUUGUGUAAUCAAAAAGCUCAUGUUUAUGAUACAGUAGUGUGUCCAGUCCUGAACUCUGAUCUGAGUAGGAUCAAUAACCGCGUAUCCUGUUGAUUGUUUCUACUAGAACAGAGGUGAUUAUGGGAAUAAUAUUUUUUUGCUGAAAACAUUUUGGAAUGAUUCAUUGACUUGAAUUUUUUUUAUCGUAGUCUCUUUUUUGACAUCUUGGGAAGAAUCUAAGUUGAAUGUAUGCGAAUUUACGUCAUUACUUUCCUACCCAAACUAAGCCUUCUGCAACUUUGCAUCAUAGACAUUCUCUUCCAUUCCCUGCACUAGUUACUGCUUUUAAUUUUUUUUUUGCAAUAACGUCUUUCUCUUUAAUACCUGAUUAGGUGGUAUUUUGUUCUGAACUGAAUCUACCUUCUGUUCACAGGAGAAACGUUUGUUCUUUGUGUUCUUACAUUAUGUCAAUUUUUUAGGAAGUAUAAAAGUUGUAGUCUCUAUUAGGACAUCAGACUAUGAAUAAUUCAUGCUGGCAUGCUUUAUUUCGGUGUGCAUUUGGCUCAGUAGCACAUUUUAGUGAUAGUGAUGCUGAGGCUGUAAAUUUCACUAGUAGUUCAAGAAAAGCUGUUAGAUAUGGCUUUUAGAAUUCUUACUCAUUCAGUGUUAUUCAACUUCUGGUCAAGUACCUCAUCUGAGAUUUCACAACCUGUUUCCUUGCAGCAUUAGUCUUGUUCCAUCAGGUACCAUUUCAAUGACUCCCAAGAAGUUUUGCAGUGUAUGUCAGAUUACCAUAGCAAGAAAUCAGGUUUGAUUAAGUAUGGUAUUUGAAAUUAAGUGCAAAGAUCUAGUGUGUCUUUAUUUUAAAAGAUUUUUGGACUUACAUAUGCUAUAAGGCUUUUAUUGUGUUCCUGGGUGUGGACCCAUUUACUUAAAGUAGACUCUUGGUUAAGAAUUUGCUUUUGCAGCAGUGCAAAGUUACAAUUUAUUUGAGUACUGUGAAGUGAUAUUUUAGGCUGAGUGAUUUAUCCCAGAAAACAAUAUUUUAGGUGAACCAGAGGCUGGUACAGUGUAAUGAUAAAUGAGCUGAUUCACUAACGUCAUUCAUGUGGCUAACUAUUAAUACUUCUAUGUUGGUCUACAUUGACUCCAUUGGCAGCCAGAGAGAGUUGCACUUGUGUGGAUUUUUGGUUUCACUUUCUCUUUUUGUCUGGUGAGAAAGACUGAAUACUGUGUGUAAGAGCUAAGAGUUAUACCAGGAGGUUGAUGUCCUCUUUGUCAGAAAUAUGAAGUUUAACUGUUAAGUAGCUGUUUGAAUGUCUGACCCAAGUUUUGUCAUACUCAAUUUUUCCUGCCUACUGUGCUCAAGUUGUUCAUAAUACCCUGUGUUUCAAACAAAACAGAAAGCUUGUCCUUUUUUACAGGAAAGAACAUCUCACAGAAUCUGUUAGGUAGAGUUGUUGGAUAUAGGAAUUUCAAUUCUAUGCUUUUUCUGAAACCUUAGAAAUUCAGUGAAAUUAAUGAUUGAAUUUUAGUCUUUUUAAUCUUUCAUUGUUUGACUCUUGCUGGCCAUUUCUUCUUACAUGUGGGGAAUUUCAUCUGCCAUCUUGGGGAGAUCUUAAUUCAUCAGUGAUGCUUUUGAAACUCAGGAGCAUUACAGUGUACUGUAGUUAAUAAUGACACCUUUCAAUUUUGUGGAUUUAAUACCUUUAUUGUAACCACUAGUAACUUAAUUUGUCAGGUGUGUAGCAUGACAUGAAAUCCAUCUGCCUUUUCAUUUGUCCAGAAAUUAAUAUUGCCAGCUGGGUGGAUUAGGGGGAUGCUGCAGUUCUUGAUGUCAUGUGUAAGAUCCAUGCAUGAAUCUAUCUUGAAGAUUGGAAUGGUGUCUUGGAAGUCAGAGGGAGACAACCUUGACUUUUUUGUUUGCUCUUUCUCUAAAUAACUAGUAUAUUUAACUAACGCAUAUUUUUAUUUUCUUUGUAUUUCCAAUUGCUAGUAUGUGGAAUUACAGGUUGGGUACAGAACAUUAACCUGACCUUGAAUUAUUACAUUUGGAUAAUUAAGGCAAUAAGUAGUUUUGUGGCAUUCACCAUCUUACAAGGUGUAGGGAGAAAGCACUGCAUCUACAGCAGAGCCCUUAGAUUUUCCUAGUGAAGGCAAUAUGUACUUCACAGAUCUCUCUGUAUUCCUGCUAUCUCUCUGAGAGCAGAGGCUGUGCUGCUGGCUCCUCUCCCCUUGCCACGUUCCUUUUGCCCCUCCAGCUGCCCACCUGUGGCUCCUGCUCCCAUACUCAAAGCAGCAAUCAAAUCCCAAAUGAUGAUCUAUAUGAACCUGAUAUUGACUAACCAGUGUGGAAUAAGAAAUAAAUUCUGUAGAACCGA